AACCUCCGCAAUGUGAGAAAUCGCGACGGGGGGAUCCCAAGUGCCAUUCUUAACGGGAUGGCUUUUCUUAAGUGUAAAAAGCUUUUGGAAUAAGAGCUGGGCAAGACCGGUGCCAGCCGCCGCGGUAACACCGGCAGCUCUAGUGGUAGCUGUUUUUAUUGGGCCUAAAGCGUUCGUAGCCGGUUUGAUAAGUCACUGGUGAAAUCCUGUAGCUUAACUGUGGGAAUUGCUGGUGAUACUGUUGAACUUGAGGUCGGGAGAGGUUAGCGGUACUCCCAGGGUAGAGGUGAAAUUCUGUAAUCCUGGGAGGACCACUGUGGCGAAGGCGGCUAACUGGAACGAACCUGACGGUGAGGGACGAAAGCUAGGGGCGCGAACCGGAUUAGAUACCCGGGUAGUCCUAGCCGUAAACGAUGCGGACUUGGUGUUGGGAUGGCUUUGAGCCGCUCCGGUGCCGAAGGGAAGCUGUUAAGUCCGCCGCCUGGGAAGUACGGUCGCAAGACUGAAACUUAAAGGAAUU
rnacentral:rRNA from 1 species